CAUACUAAAAACUAUAUGAAAUUAACCCCAAAAAGCGUAUAAAAUAUCCGCUCAUCACUUGUCUCCUGAACUUCUUCAUAUUAUUAGUUUCAGGCAAAAUGUUUCUAGUUUUCAGAUACUGGAUAUAAGGCCAUCACCAGCCAUCAUCUUUAUUAAUGUUGCAAAUAUUAAUGAAAUGAAUGCUUGGUGUAAUCAGAGUGGAUUGCAAAAGAGUGGCAGUGUGUGAUUGUGUACUGGUGAGCUUUGAUAGAAUGUCAGUUUGGUGAUUUUGUUUCCUUGGAAUAUGAUGAAUUUCAAAUUUUGAAAAUAAGAUAUGAGCGAUUUGACAACAUCUAAGUAUUUUGUUAAGAGAGGAUCUUUGACUUGAAAAUAUUGAUUUACCUGUUGUGCUAUUAAUAAAGAGUCAUAGUGUGCCUUUAUUUCAGAAAUAUUUAACUCAAUGGCUAACCUUAAACCUGUAAUUAAUGCUGCAUAUUGGGCCUGAUUAUUAUUAGCCUUGAAGGAGAAGUGUAAAAAGUGUUCCAAAACAAUUCUAUUACCAUCUUUAAGAAGAAUUUCAGCUCCUGACCCUUGAGAGUUAGAGGCGCCAUCGACGUAUAAUGUCCAUUCUACUGGCAUAUCAUUGGAGUUGGGAGCAGUAAACUCGACAAGCACUUGUUGUAGUGGUUGCUCAGUUCGAACGUUGAUGAUAUAACUUUGGAAAUAAGGUCAGAGACGCCUAGCUGAGAAUACUAAGGCAAGGGCAAGCUUUUUUAUCUUUGGAUAGCGAAGCUCGGCAUUUUACAGAGAUUUGUUAAUGAAGUAAAAAAGAUUUUGCA